rnacentral:rRNA from 1 species
UACGUAGGGUGCAAGCGUUGUCCGGAAUUAUUGGGCGUAAAGAGCUCGUAGGCGGUGUGUCACGUCGUUCGUGAAAACCUGCAGCUUAACUGUGGGCGUGCGGUCGAUACGGGCAUCACUGGAGUUCGGCAGGGGAGACUGGAAUUCCUGGUGUAGCGGUGAAAUGCGCAGAUAUCAGGAGGAACACCGGUGGCGAAGGCGGGUCUCUGGGGCCGAUACUGACGCUGGAGGAGCG